CCAAGUACACAACGUUCUAAUGUAACUCCCAACGAUACUUCCGGGUUUCUUCCCACCGCAGCCUCGAUUUCGCUUUUAAAAAUGGCAGCCGCGUGAAAUCAGUCUAUAGGAAUAACGAUAGGCGAUAGGGUGUUGACUGUACAGCAGAAGAACACCACCGUGGACAACCGUCAUACUUUAGUGGUGCUCGUUUUCCUUCGACAAUCUCCCUUUGUUGUCAACCACUGUGCAUACUCAUGGAGAGGAGGUUGUGGCAACUGAUGGACAGAAUAUCACCAUUCCCUUCAAUUUUUCUGACCUGGAGAGGGCCGAUCAAGUGAAAGUGAUUUUUCAAGGAAAUGACAAGAAAAAAAUGAUAGCACAGCUCUGUUUCAGAAAUAAUGCGUGCGAUAAUGUGACUACCGCUGGAGUCGAACUGCAAGUUAAAGCAGAGACUCUGUCCCUAAUUCUUUUAGGGAUAAACCAUUCAAGACAAGGCGAUUAUGAAGUGCUUGUCUUAAUCGGAAAGCUUGUUGACAAAAAGAAUGUUACACUUGUCAAGCCACCAUUUUCCUCAAGUACAAUUCCAUCACAUUCUCCAACAUCAGAACCUCCCACCACUAAUCCAACCUCAUCCAAACACCAGUGGUUAUAUUGCCUACUUUCUUUGUUGAUUUUGCCCAUUCUGAAAUGG